rnacentral:tRNA from 1 species
GGAGAGCUGUCCGAGUGGUCGAAGGAGCACGAUUGGAAAUCGUGUGUGCGGUUAACGCUGUACCGAGGGUUCGAAUCCCUCGCUCUCCG